rnacentral:rRNA from 1 species
GAUGAACGCUGGCGGCGUGCCUAACACAUGCAAGUCGUACGAAAAAGAAAUUUUUAGUGGCAAACGGGUGAGUAACGCGUGAGAAUUUACUCUUAUGGUAGAGGAUAACUUUUAGAAAUAUUAGCCAAAACUCUAUAUGCUUUUAAUAAGUGAACAAAGAAAUUUGCCUAAGAAAAAGCUCGAGUCUGAUUAGCUAGUUGGUAGUGUAAAAGCCUACCAAGGCGAUGAUCAGUAGCUGGUCUGAGAGGAUGAUCAGCCAAACUGAAACUGAGACACGGUCCAGACUCCUACGGGAGGCAGCAGUGAGGAAUUUUCUGCAAUGGGCGAAAGCCUGACAGAGCAACGCCGCGUGAGGGAAGAAGGCCUUCGGGUUGUAAACCUCUUUUCUCAAGGAGGAAGAUCUGACGUUACUUGAGGAAUAAGAAUCGGCUAACCCUGUGCCAGCCGCCGCUGUAA